UAGUAUGGGGAUCUGCCCGAUAGAGGGGGGUAACUACUGGAAACGGUGGCUAAUACCGCAUAAUGUCUACGGACCAAAGCAGGGGCUCUUCAGACCUUGCACUAUCGGAUGAACCCAUAUGGGAUUAGCUAGUAGGUGGGGUAAAGGCUCACCUAGGCGACGAUCUCUAGCUGGUCUGAGAGGAUGAUCAGCCACACUGGGACUGAGACACGGCCCAG
rnacentral:rRNA from 1 species